rnacentral:rRNA from 1 species
AGAACGAACGCUGGCGGCAUGCCUAACACAUGCAAGUCGAACGUGAUCCGGGGCUUGCUCCGGUGAAAGUGGCGGACGGGUGAGUAACGCGUGGGAACCUGCCCAGUGGUCGGGGAUAACUGCGGGAAACUGCAGCUAAUACCCGGUAAGCCCUACGGGGGAAAGAUUUAUCGCCAUUGGAGGGGCCCGCGUCGGAUUAGGUAGUUGGUGGGGUAAAGGCCUACCAAGCCUUCGAUCCGUAGCUGGUCUGAGAGGAUGAUCAGCCACACUGGGACUGAGAUACGGCCCAGACUCCUACGGGAGGCAGCAGUGGGGAAUAUUGGACAAUGGGCGCAAGCCUGAUCCAGCAAUGCCGCGUGAGUGAAGAAGGCCUUAGGGUUGUAAAGCUCUUUCGGCGGGACGAUGAUGACGGUACCCGCAGAAGAAGCCCGGCUAACUCCGCGCCAGCAGCCGC